ACGACUGCUAAUACCGCAUAAGCCCACGGCUCGGCAUCGAGCAGAGGGAAAAGGAGCAAUCCGCUUUGAGAUGGCCUCGCGUCCGAUUAGCUAGUUGGUGAGGUAACGGCCCACCAAGGCGACGAUCGGUAGCCGGACUGAGAGGUUGAACGGCCACAUUGGGACUGAGACACGGCCCAGACUCCUACGGGAGGCAGCAGUGGGGAAUAUUGCACAAUGGGGGAAACCCUGAUGCAGCGACGCCGCGUGGAGGAAGAAGGUCUUCGGAUUGUAAACUCCUGUUGUUGAGGAAGAUAAAGACGGUACUCAACAAGGAAGUGACGGCUAACUACGUGCCAGCAGCCGCGGUAAAACGUAGGUCACAAGCGUUGUCCGGAAAUACUGGGUGUAAAGGGAGCGCAGGCGGGAGAACAAGUUGGAAGUGAAAUCCAUGGGCUCAACCCAUGAACUGCUUUCAAAACUGUUUUUCUUGAGUAGUGCAGAGGUAGGCGGAAUUCCCGGUGUAGCGGUGGAAUGCGUAGAUAUCGGGAGGAGCACCAGUGGCGAAGGCGGCCUACUGGGCACCAACUGACGCUGAGGCUCGAAAGUGUGGGUAGCAAACAGGAUUAGAUACCCUGGUAGUCCACACCGUAAACGAUGAUUACUAGGUGUUGGAGGAUUGACCCCUUCAGUGCCGCAG
rnacentral:rRNA from 1 species